ACCCUAUGAACAUAUAUUUACCUAAUUUAAACCUUUUUACAAGAUUAUACCAUCAUACGACACUCCCAAACCUGCCCAAAACCUAAGGACACACUAGAACACAUUCUUCUCUAGUUUCCGAACGUCGUGGUCGUUUCUUAACGUUUAGACUUUUACUCUUCCAAAUCAAGUCAAUUGCAUAAAUUUAGGUUUAGAAACAUCAUUUUAACUAUUUUUAAUUCAUUAUUCAUAAGGUAAGGCUCUAACUUAAGUCAUAGAAUUUUUGGGGUGUUACAAACACUAUAAAAACAGC
rnacentral:lncRNA from 1 species